CCGGCCUGCCCGGUGGCUUUCUUGCUAAACGGCUGCAGUACUCUGACUGUGCAAAGGUAGCAUAAUCAAUUGCCUAUUAAUUGUAGGCUAGUAUCAAUGGUUAGACGAUAAAAACACUGUCUCCUUCCUUUAAUCUCGAAUUUCUCUUAAAGGUGAAGAGACCUUUGAGAAUUAGUAGGACGAGAAGACCCUAUUGAGCUUUAGGUUAAAGUAUUAGCUUAGUUAAAACUUAACCUUGGGUUGGGGCAACUAUCUAUUUUGUUUAACAUAGAUAAACUUAGAUUGUAUUGAAUCUUUUUUUGACCCAGGAUAAUCCUGAUUAUUGGAAAAAGUUACCUUAGGGAUAACAGCGUAAUUUUUCUUAAUAGUUCAUAUUGCCAGAAAAGUUUGCGACCUCGAUGUUGGAUCAAGGUUGCCUGGAGGUGCAGCAGCUUCCAAGGGUUGGUUUGUUCAACCAUAAAAAUCUUACGUGAUCUGAGUUCAAAACCGGC
rnacentral:rRNA from 1 species